rnacentral:rRNA from 1 species
AGUUUGAUCCUGGCUCAGGAUGAACGCUAGCUACAGGCUUAACACAUGCAAGUCGAGGGGCAGCAUGAACUUAGCUUGCUAAGUUUGAUGGCGACCGGCGCACGGGUGAGUAACACGUAUCCAACCUGCCGAUGACUCGGGGAUAGCCUUUCGAAAGAAAGAUUAAUACCCGAUGGCAUAGUUCUUCCGCAUGGUAGAACUAUUAAAGAAUUUCGGUCAUCGAUGGGGAUGCGUUCCAUUAGGUUGUUGGCGGGGUAACGGCCCACCAAGCCUUCGAUGGAUAGGGGUUCUGAGAGGAAGGUCCCCCACAUUGGAACUGAGACACGGUCCAAACUCCUACGGGAGGCAGCAGUGAGGAAUAUUGGUCAAUGGACGAGAGUCUGAACCAGCCAAGUAGCGUGAAGGAUGACUGCCCUAUGGGUUGUAAACUUCUUUUAUACGGGAAUAAAGUGAGGCACGUGCGCCUUUUUGUAUGUACCGUAUGAAUAAGGAUCGGCUAACUCCGUGCCAGCAGCCGCGGUAAUACGGAGGAUCCGAGCGUUAUCCGGAUUUAUUGGGUUUAAAGGGAGCGUAGGCGGACGCUUAAGUCAGUUGUGAAAGUUUGCGGCUCAACCGUAAAAUUGCAGUUGAUACUGGGUGUCUUGAGUAUAGUAGAGGCAGGCGGAAUUCGUGGUGUAGCGGUGAAAUGCUUAGAUAUCACGAAGAACUCCGAUUGCGAAGGCAGCUUGCUGGACUGUAACUGACGCUGAUGCUCGAAAGUGUGGGUAUCAAACAGGAUUAGAUACCCUGGUAGUCCACACAGUAAACGAUGAAUACUCGCUGUUUGCGAUAUACAGUAAGCGGCCAAGCGAAAGCGUUAAGUAUUCCACCUGGGGAGUACGCCGGCAACGGUGAAACUCAAAGGAAUUGACGGGGGCCCGCACAAGCGGAGGAACAUGUGGUUUAAUUCGAUGAUACGCGAGGAACCUUACCCGGGCUUGAAUUGCAACUGAAUGAUGUGGAGACAUGUCAGCCGCAAGGCAGUUGUGAAGGUGCUGCAUGGUUGUCGUCAGCUCGUGCCGUGAGGUGUCGGCUUAAGUGCCAUAACGAGCGCAACCCUUAUCGAUAGUUACCAUCAGGUGAUGCUGGGGACUCUGUCGAGACUGCCGUCGUAAGAUGUGAGGAAGGUGGAA